UUGAAGUGGCAACUGUAUGAUGCAUGCUUUCGUUAAAUCUGAUGUUAAUUAUUUUGAAUUUAGCUUGCUUAAUUUUGUUAUUUCCUGUUAGUAUUUUGCAUAGUAGUAGUGACAUGCUCCCCCAGCAUUUCUUAUUCUCAACUAUGGCAUUUGGGAAAAAUUGGCUUAUUCAGUCUGGUGUAACUUAUUAAUUUUUGUUCUUGAAGAUGACUCCCUUUUGAAUGUUAAUCAAAUUGUCACAGUAUAUGGACAAACCUCCUGAAG
rnacentral:misc_RNA from 1 species